AUUGAACGCUGGCGGCAGGCCUAACACAUGCAAGUCGAGCGGAUGAAGGGAGCUUGCUCCUGGAUUCAGCGGCGGACGGGUGAGUAAUGCCUAGGAAUCUGCCUGGUAGUGGGGGAUAACGUCCGGAAACGGGCGCUAAUACCGCAUACGUCCUGAGGGAGAAAGUGGGGGAUCUUCGGACCUCACGCUAUCAGAUGAGCCUAGGUCGGAUUAGCUAGUUGGUGGGGUAAAGGCCUACCAAGGCGACGAUCCGUAACUGGUCUGAGAGGAUGAUCAGUCACACUGGAACUGAGACACGGUCCAGACUCCUACGGGAGGCAGCAGUGGGGAAUAUUGGACAAUGGGCGAAAGCCUGAUCCAGCCAUGCCGCGUGUGUGAAGAAGGUCUUCGGAUUGUAAAGCACUUUAAGUUGGGAGGAAGGGCUGUAAGUUAAUACCUUGCUGUUUAGACGUUACCAACAGAAUAAGCACCGGCUAACUUCGUG
rnacentral:rRNA from 1 species